CGCAUAUGCUCGACUUACUGUCGGUCAUGAAUUCAAUAAAGAUUCUUGGUCAUGGAGAGGAAGUAAAAGUCAUAACAAGGUUUAUUUAGGAGAUCUUGAAGUGAUAUCAUUAUUGUCAUGGAGUAUAGGUUCCGUCGAGAUAACAACAUUGUCCUGUUAAGCGCACUGCUCUUUCUUUCAUAGGCCGGAAUUGUCGUGUUCGGAACGUCCAUCAUAACAUUUAAGUAGUCCAUGUAAUAAUAUGAUUCCACCAAAAAAAUCUUAACUACUUUCUACAAUAAAUAUGUAGGUUAAGGCAUUGAUUAAGAAGACAGGGAAAAGUCAUAAAUUGAUUGAAUUGCAGAAUUCACAGAAUCAUCGACUCUAUUAAGGCACACAGCCCCCUUCGAUUAUUCAUCAAAGCAUGGUUGUUCGACCUGUCAUUCUCACCCUGCAAGCCCCUGGUUGGUCAUGGGUGCGUCUUCCUCCCACGCGCGUGCCGAAUAGACACAAACGUACUGGCGGCUGCCUCCUUAAGCUAGAAGCCAACACAAACGCUCCUGAAGGCGGCAGGGCCAGGCAGUCAAACUAAAAAGACCCCCCUAGAAGGACCUCGAAUCAAGCAGGAGUACCCGCUGAACUUAAGCAUAUCAAUAAGCGGAGGA
rnacentral:rRNA from 1 species